rnacentral:misc_RNA from 1 species
GAUGAAGAACGCAGCGAAAUGCGAUAAGUAAUGUGAAUUGCAGAAUUCAGUGAAUCAUCGAAUCUUUGAACGCACAUUGCGCCCGCUAGUAUUCUAGCGGGCAUGCCUGUUCGAGCGUCAUUUCAACCAUCAAGCCCCAGGCUUGUGUUGGGGACCUGCGGCUGCCGCAGGCCCUGAAAACCAGUGGCGGGCUCGCUGUCACACCGGGCGUAGUAGAUUUUAUCUCGCUCAGGGCGUGCUGCGGGUUCCGGCCGUUAAAAAGCCUUUUUUACCCAAGGUUGACCUCGGAUCAGGUAGGAAGACCCGCUGAACUUAAGCAUAUCAAUAAGCGGAGGA